rnacentral:rRNA from 1 species
UUGAAAGGGAAACGAUUGAAGUCAGUCGUACCAACGGAAAAUCAGCUCUUCGAGUGCGGACUUGUGGGUUACGUGAGCUUUACGGCCUCGUUGUUUGCAAUGUUCGUUCUUUUUGGGUGUACUUUUUCGUAUGGUUGGCCAAUAUCAGUUUCGAUCGCUAUAAAAUGACCGGCGGAAUGUAGCUUCGAUCUCGUAUUGAAGUGUUAUAGCCUCUGGUAGAUGUGGUGAUUGGGACUGAGGAUUGCAACGAAUACCUUUUGGGCUAUCCGUCUGACCUCUGAAAGUUGCUUAGGUGCCGAAAGCGUGCUUACGGUUAUUUAAGUUGACGGUCAAAAGGUUAGAACGUGAUUAUAUUCGUUAAGGAUGUUGACGUA